UGGGGAAUCUUGGACAAUGGGCGCAAGCCUGAUGGAGCGACGUCGCGUGAUGGACGAAGUGCUUCGGCACGUAAACAUCUUUUAUGUGGGAUGAAAUUAUUGACAGUACCACAUGAAUAAGGGGCUCCUAACUCUGUGCCAGCAGGAGCGGUAAUACAGAGGCCCCAAGCGUUAUCCGGAAUCACUGGGCGUAAAGGGUGUCGAGGCGGUUGUAUUAGUCGUUCGUAAAAUCUACGAGCUUAACUUGUAGGCGGCGAACGAAACGGUACGACUUGAGGUUUGGAGAGGUGCGUGGAACUCACGGUGUAGGGGUGAAAUCCGUUGAUAUCGUGGGGAACACCAAAGGCGAAGGCAGCGCACUGGCCAAAAUCUGACGCUCACACACGAAAGCUAGGGUAGCGAAGAGGAUUAGAUACCCUUGUAGUCCCUGAGCGGGCUGGCAAGGCGCAU
rnacentral:rRNA from 1 species